rfam:Triticum aestivum genome assembly, contig: Triticum_aestivum_CS42_TGACv1_scaffold_250236_3DL
CAUAUACCCCCCUCUGUCCGGAAUUACUUAUCAUCGAAAUGGAUGAAAAUAGAUGUAUGUAAAACUAAAAUACAUCUAGAUACAUCCAUAUCUAUGAUAAAAUAUUUCCGGACGGAGGGAGUAGCUC